AUGUUUGUCACACUAACAUAUUCCAUCGACAAUAGGUUUCACACGGCCCUGCUGUUGCCCUGUUUUGCAUCCAGGCUCAGAGCCACCCGACACAGAGAGAGGAUUACAGGCAGUUCUAUGAUUAACUUACAAUUUGGAGAGAUAAAUUUGCAAUUUUCAGAAGAAAAGUCAGAAGCUAACACUUCAGAGGUGUUAUUUCACUUUCUGGGCUGUUUUGAAUGUGCAGUAAAAAAUGUGGAUAUUAGCAAAGACACAUUCCAGAAAACAAGGAUGUCUGGUCAACCGACUCAAAGUUCAUGUGGACUGUAUUUGUCGUGAGCAUAAACUCUAUGCUAACACAUCACCCUGACCCAGGUCACAGCAGUAGCAUUGAGGCCAGCUGGCACAUCUUUACAGGUAAAGAUGUUGUGUUACCGUCUUGACUGACUGAACUGAGUGACUGCACAACAUGAAUAAAUGAUUAGAGAGUAGAGGUGAGGCGGGCGAC
ensembl:lncRNA